rnacentral:rRNA from 1 species
GGAAUAUUGCACAAUGGGCGAAAGCCUGAUGCAGCGACGCCGCGUGAGUGAUGAAGUAUCUCGGUAUGUAAAGCUCUAUCAGCAGGGAAGAUAAUGACGGUACCUGACUAAGAAGCACCGGCUAAAUACGUGCCAGCAGCCGCGGUAAUACGUAUGGUGCAAGCGUUAUCCGGAUUUACUGGGUGUAAAGGGUGCGUAGGUGGAACGGCAAGUCAGAUGUGAAAACCCGGGGCUCAACCCCGUGACUGCAUUUGAAACUGUCGAUCUAGAGUGCAGGAGAGGAAAGCGGAAUUCCUAGUGUAGCGGUGAAAUGCGUAGAUAUUAGGAGGAACACCAGUGGCGAAGGCGGCUUUCUGGACUGUUACUGACACUGAGGCACGAAAGCGUGGGGAGCAAACA